rnacentral:sRNA from 1 species
UUUUGCUUGCUUGAGGGCAAGCAAAAGAUAAGUUUGAGGGAAUUGAUAACACUGUAUUUUAUUCAUUUUAGGUGUAUGUUUAUUAUCAUUUAGCUUUGCAUUUGCUCAUUGUAUCAUAUCAUUUUGCACCAUUUUAGCUUGUUUUGCAUACUUAGGCAUCUAGGAUCAUCUUGCAUUCGCAUUGCAUGUUUUGGUGUGUUUUCAGGUGCAAAAGGAGCUUAAAAGGACUCUACUCGAUCCUUUCACUCGAUCCAGGCAGCUACAGAAGAGGCAUCACUCUACUCGACCUCACUACUCGAUCUAGGAUGCUACAAAGGAGGCUGUAGUUUACUCGACCCAACUACUCGAUCAAGGCAACCUCAGAUGAAGCAGCAGAUUCAACUACUCGCCCCUCCUACUCGAUCCACUACUCGAUCCAUUUACUCAACCAAGGGUGACCAUCUCUAUAAGACUUGUUGAGCUAUCAAAGCGUCUUCGGAUCCUCCUCAUUCCCCACUCGGAGCAUAGACACAAAGGCGCAGACUUUGCAGCACCUUCAUUACUCGAUCCCCGAGGUCGAGUAUUCGCCCAAACCGCCUCAAGUCUCUUGUCUUCUAGUGAAUCUAGGGUUUCAACAUUUUAUAUAAAUAGAUCAUUUUGGGGUUUGUCCAAGAGAUCUAGACUUUAUCUUUCAGUUUUUCUUUAUGUUUAUGAAUCUUGAAACUUUAAUUACUCUUAAUCUAUUUCGUUUUUGCAUUUGAUUGUUUAAGUAAAGUUGUUUAGCUUGUUUAGAUCUACAUUUUGGUAUGAUUUUAGUAAUUUCUGGGUUUGUGUUCUUGAGAAUGUUGCUUGAGUAGUGAUUAGGGUUCUUGAGGAUGGAUUAGAUUAGGGUAUUCUCUAGGUUAGUUAGGUGGUAAGUGUUUAGGUUUAUACCCUUCUGGAUUUGCUUGUGCGGUUUUCGCUGGCUAAUGUGGAGAUUCGAUCAUAGACGUCCAGCGUCCAAAAGACGUUCAAAUGGAUGUCUAACCUUCGAAUUCCAGAGAUAUGUAGACUCAACCAAGGGAUUGGCUUGUCUGCCUAUUGGCUUUGAUAAAUUGUUUCUAAAACCCUGCUCUGCUAUGUUUCAUCAACGUGAGUUGAGAUUAGGAAGUGGUCGAGUUAUGGGGGUCUCUGUCACGAGAGUGGAUUGACCCGGUUUGUGAAUCUAUCGUCAUGGGUAUCUACCUUUCGCCUAUUAGCCAUUUGAUGAACCCUAGAGUUGCCCUUGUCAAUGAAUCUAUCCUUAGAACUUUUAUUAGAUUGAUUUGUAUCCCCUGUCGAUUGCACUUUUAUUUACCUGUUAUUUGUAUCCUCUAUUUUUAUCCCCUGUUGAUUGCAUUUUAGUUCCUAAUUUUUUCACCGGUGUGUUCUACUCGACCCAAUGAUCGAGUAGGGCUGUUAAGUUCUUAUUUUUACUUGUCUGAAUCCUUACCUAGGAUUGUUACUAGAAACCCACCAUCAUUAUAAUCUG